rnacentral:rRNA from 1 species
GUGGGGAAUAUUGGGCAAUGGGGGCAACCCUGACCCAGCAACGCCGCGUGAGGGAAGAAGGUUUUCGGAUUGUAAACCUCUGUCCUAUGGGAAGACGGAAGUGACGGUACCAUAGGAGGAAGCCCCGGCUAACUACGUGCCAGCAGCCGCGGUAAUACGUAGGGGGCGAGCGUUGUCCGGAAUUACUGGGCGUAAAGGGUGCGCAGGUGGCCUGACAAGUCAGAUGUGAAAUACCGAUGCUUAACGUCGGGGCUGCAUUUGAAACUAUGAGGCGGGAGUGAAGGAGAGGGAGACGGAAUUCCUAGUGUAGAGGUGAAAUGCAUAGAUAUUAGGAGGAACACCAGUGGCGAAGGCGGCUUUCUGGACUGUAACUGACACUGAGGCACGAAAGCGUGGGGAGCAAACAGGAUUAGAAACCCUGGUAGUCC